CGCCCUUCUGUCUUUUCUAGAGUUUUGAUUUUGUGAUAUUUUUAAUAUAUUUUUAUAGGGAAAGUUAAAUAUGGGAAGUUUUGAGAAGCAAGUGAAGGAGAGAACACAAGAGUUGAAGAUGUUUUUCAAGAAGGGAGUAAAAAUUGUGGGAGAUUCUUGCAAGAAGGGUUGGAACAAGAUGAAGAACAUGAGGAGUUGAAAUAUUUUUAUUUUCUUUAAUUUGAGAGGUUUUGAUUAUUGGAGAGAAGGCUGAUUUUAUGUCACUAGGUAUAUUUUGGUUUAAUUUGCAAGCUUGGUUCUUGAGAAGAUAGAAAUGUAAAGAGUCUUUGGUA